GUGAGUUGUCGGUGGUCCAUGCAAGUGAAUUACCAUACAAGGGACAUGACCCAGUUGAGGCAGCCGCUGUUGAGGUACAAAACUUUCUCGUUUCUGGUAGAAGGAAAGAGGCUCUAUGGUGUGCACAAGAAGGUCAGUUGUGGGGCAUAUUUUUAUUGAUUUAAGCAUGCAUAUGUGGUCUUACGAAGCAGUUGGACUUGUGAUCUUUUGACUACAUUAGCCAUCAUCCGGACCUUGCUUUGCAGACCACAGCUGCAGCAAAAGAUCCUUGUCACGAGGAACUGACACAUUGUGUGGUGACUCCUCAUAUGCCUUCGCUGCUUUGAAAAAUGUCUCUGCUGCUGCAGAUAAUUUUUAGGAUGCAAAUAAGCUUAGACAGACUGGAUUUGGGCCUGUUUAUAAGGUAACUUCGAUGAAAACAUAAUUUUGUGGCCUACUACAUAUCAUCGUUGUUUUGAUCUAUCACACUCAAUGUAAUCACAA